AAGUCACUGAAAAUGGGGGGACGUUAGUACAGAAGGAGAGGAGACGGAAUUUCAAGUGUAGUCGGUGAAAAAUGUAGAGAUAUGUGGGAGACAAUCAGUGAUGGAGGGGGGCUCUUUGGUCUGUAAAUGAGGCAGAGGAGGUGAAAGAGUGGGGGAGCAAACAGGAUUAGAUACCCUGGUAGUAGCACCCCGUAAUAAGAUGAGGUCUAAGUGUUAGGGGGUUUCCGCCCCUUAGUGGUGCAGCUAUACGCAUUAAACAUUCCGCCGGGGAGUGCGGUCGCACAAGGGUAAAUCAAAAAAAUUUACGGGGGGCCGCACACAAGGUGGAGCAUGUGGUUUAAUUUGAAACAACACGAAAAGCCCUUCCAGGUCUUGACAUACCGCUGAAAUCCCUAAGAAUAGGCUUUUCCCUUUGGGGAAAGCGAAGACAGGUGGUGCAUGGUUGUCGUCAGCUCGUGUCGUGAGAUGUUGGGUUAAGUCCCGCAACGAGCGCAACCCUUGAUCUUAGUUGCCAGCAGUUAGUUGGGCAAUUUAAAGUAUCUUCCCAGGAUAAACCGGAAGAAAGGGGGGGUGGAGUCAAAUUAUUCUUCCCCCUUUGGCCCAGGGUACCCCCCGUGUUCAAUGGACGGUACAAAGGGUCGCAACCCCAGGAGGGUGAGCAAAUUCUAUAAAACCGUUCUCUAUUCCGAAUUGGAGUUGCAAAUUGCAUUCCGGAAGUAGAAAUAGAUAGUAAUCAGAUCAGCAAACACUAACAAGGGUACCACUAGAGUUUGAUCAUGGCUCAGUAAGUCGUAACAAGGUAACCCCUAGAGUUUGAUCAUGGCUCAGUAAGUCGUAACAAGGUAACCACUAGAGUG
rnacentral:rRNA from 1 species